GAUGAACGCUGGCGGCGUGCCUAAUACAUGCAAGUCGAGCGAACAGACGAGGAGCUUGCUCCUCUGACGUUAGCGGCGGACGGGUGAGUAACACGUGGAUAACCUACCUAUAAGCCUGGGAUAACUUUGGGAAACCGGAGCUAAUACCGGAUAAUAUAUUGAACCGCAUGGUUCCAUAGUGAAAGACGGUUUUGCUGUCACUUAUAGAUGGAUCCGCGCCGCAUUAGCUAGUUGGUAAGGUAACGGCUUACCAAGGCAACGAUGCGUAGCCGACCUGAGAGGGUGAUCGGCCACACUGGAACUGAGACACGGUCCAGACUCCUACGGGAGGCAGCAGUAGGGAACCUUCCGCAAUGGGCGAAAGCCUGACGGAGCAACGCCGCGUGAGUGAUGAAGGUCUUCGGAUCGUAAAACUCUGUUAUUAGGGAAGAACAAAUGUGUAAGUAACUAUGCACGUCUUGACGGUACCUAAUCAGAAAGCCACGGCUAACUACGUG
rnacentral:rRNA from 1 species